rnacentral:lncRNA from 1 species
AAAUGGUUAGAUUAGCAGAGGACGACGAUGAAAUUUAACUUCUUGGUUUUGCUUUUGUGAUACGAACCUGGAACCAGCGGACGAUCCAUGGGUCGAGCAGCCAGACGAAACGCGGGACGAGAAACAAGACCUGAUAGAGAAUCUGACCGUGCCAAAUGGACCGAUGACACGAUCAUGUAUUAAGAAGCUAUCAUUGGCUGUUUGGAGGUUAUGUACGACCUACGAGUCCAAUACUCGGACGUUACACCAAACGCUUAGGCUGUAACGCUGCUGACUUAUUCGAUCGGUAUAAUUCUUUAAUAUUCUUUUUUCUUGUACUCAAGUUUGUCCCAAUAGGUUUAUGGGAUGGAAUUUUAAUGAGGUUAAAGGCUACGCCCAACUCAUUGAUCGUGGUUUGUUGGUGGAUCGUUAUAUGGUUUGGAAGGCAAAGGAUCACUCGCGGAGAGAACCGAAGAGUCAGUCAAGGGGAGUCGAGUGGUCAUUCAACUGUUUUAAAUGCUAUCAUUUAUUUUUUAUGUCUUUUUUCUUUUGCACUUCUUUUCGCCUCUAUAUAAAAACCAGACUCUUAUGUAUUUUCAUUCACUUCUUUUUUUUAUCAAAUUUUCGAGAUUUUUCUUGUUUUUUCUGAGUUUUUCUUUCAUAUGUAGUUAGCCUUGAAAGUUUCAUAGGUUUAUCGAGUUCAAUCCAUAGAAUUCGACGCAGCCUCUAUCUCAUCUAGUUUCCGAUUUCGUUCAAAGUAGUUUAGGGA